rnacentral:pre_miRNA from 1 species
GUAGUAUUCCCUCCGUCCCAAAAUACUUGUCUUACAUUUGUUUAGAUAUGGAUGUAUCUAAUACUAAAAUGUAACUAGAUACAUCCGUAUUUAGACAAAUUUAAGACAAGAAUUUUGGGACGGAGGGAGUACAAA